rnacentral:rRNA from 1 species
GAUGAACGCUAGCGGGAGGCCUAACACAUGCAAGCCGAGCGGUAUUCUGGAUUUAUUCAGGAGAGAGCGGCGUACGGGUGCGUAACACGUGUGCAACCUACCUUUAUCAGGGGAAUAGCCUUUCGAAAGGAAGAUUAAUACUCCAUAAUAUAUUAGAUGGCAUCAUUUGAUAUUGAAAACUCCGGUGGAUAGAGAUGGGCACGCGCAAGAUUAGAUAGUUGGUGAGGUAACGGCUCACCAAGUCGAUGAUCUUUAGGGGUCCUGAGAGGGAGAUCCCCCACACUGGUACUGAGACACGGACCAGACUCCUACGGGAGGCAGCAGUGAGGAAUAUUGGACAAUGGGGUGAGAGCCUGAUCCAGCCAUCCCGCGUGAAGGAUGACGGUCCUACGGAUUGUAAACUUCUUUUGUAUUAGGGAUAAACCUCUCUACGUGUAGAGAGCUGAAGGUACUAUACGAAUAAGCACCGGCUAACUCCGUGCCAGCAGCC